UAGUCAAACAGUGUUACAGCCUACACGGCAUCAUUCGUUAAGCAAUUAAGUUACUGAUAGGCUUUUACAUUUAUUUACCUUGAUGGAAAGAUAUGUUUACUCAACCUGAGAACAAAUCAACAUGAGGAGGCGGAAGUUCAGAGUAAAUUUGACUAAUGAUGUUGUGUUUUCAUCCUUGGAAGAAACAAAAAAGCCUUUCUGCUUUUGAUGCCAUGUUAUCUCCAUUGGAAGAGAUCCGAAAUGAUCCAGACUGUCAUGUGAGAGCUUAGUUAAGCUCAGAUCCCCUUUGAUUGCCUCUGAAUGUCUCUCUCAGUUGGCUCGUACCUCCUUCAUAUGAUACAGCAUACAGCACUUCAGUUUGUUUAUUAAACAGUACUUUAACUUUUUAGACUUAAUGUUCUAAUGAUUCAAUCUUUAAGCAAAAUAUAGGGGGGGGACCUUUACCACUAGAAGAAAAUUUAAUGUGGCCUCCCUGGUGAAAUGUCAAUUAAUUCCAUUUAAGCAUGGCUUUAUUAAACUACAAAACUGACUAGUAUAUGUUAUACUUCUCAUUGAACCCUAAUUAUCUCUUUAUUUCCUUGUAGGCUUUUACCAGUUUCUCCAGCCUUGCCUCUGUGGAUUUCAUAAGCUCUGUUUCUCCAAGUGAUGCUUCAGUGUCCCCUGUGAUGGAAUCCAUUAUGUGUGAGCAUCACCAUGGUUUUGAACUGUGCUGCUGUACUCCCUCAUCUGAAUAAAGAGGAACCAGGAUUUUGCCUUGAUCUGUGCCUUCUGGGAAAAUUAGGGCUGAGUAUAAAAGCCCGACUGUAAUGCACUGAAGACAGUUCUGGCGUACAAGAAGAUAGAGAGAAAGAGGUUCUUCCAAAGGCAUGUGGUGAGUCCUGCUUUUUCUUGGAGUCAAAAGCAGGUGCCUCUUACUCAGCCGUUGUCAGUUUCUGAGUCACAGAAGCACUUGCAGGUAUGGCUCUAGAGAAUUUGGGAAGAAAGGGAAGAAGAAAGGAGCUGCAAUUUUUUUACAGAAGAAGAACAUAAAGAAAAGAAAGGUGUUCCUAAGUAUGUAGCCUGCAGCCUUGUCAGGGAUGCCAUCAUACUGAUUCCUUUAAAUGACGGGGAAACCAGCAUUUGACAAAAGGUACCAAUCUUACAAGUUGCCCAGGAGGGUAGAAGGAGACUUGCUCAGUCCAGAUUUGCAAGGUUGGGACCUCAGUUUGCAUCUUGGCAUGUAAAUGGGAGAAGGAACUGUGCUGUGCAGAGAGAAUGGAGGUCAGCACUGAACAGACGGUUUUGAACAGAUCAGAAUUCCUGUAAUGUGACCACCAUUGCUGAAGACCUGCUUCUGUGGAACUGGAGAGGGACGAAGAUUGAAGCAGGAGACAAAGACCUUGUGAAGGAAGUUUAUCAUCCCACUAAAGCUCUGCAGAAAAGCCGAUGGAGAUUUAACACAAUCUGGAGUUACAUUAAAUUCUGUAGUUCAUUUGGACUUUAAAGGGAGGUCUACGGAGCAGCAGCAACCAGACUAAAUCCAACUGAGCCAUAUUGUGAGGGAGCCGAGAGGAACCACAACAGACUUUGAGGCAACGUAGAGGCACAGGGCCUCAAAAAAGAUUCUGUGGGACACACAAUGGGAGGAAAGUCACUGCCCCUUCUUCCUGAGGAAAUGACGUGUGAGGAGCGCUGAGCGCUGAGCGGUGCUCCUCACACGUCAUUGUGAAAAAUGAAAAAGCCAAGAGACAACGGGCUCCAUUCUGUCCUCACAUGCAUGGCUUUGUUACAAGUGGGCACUGGUCCAGUUUCUGUGGUCAGAGUCACACGUGCAACUUCCUCUGACUUAAACAGAGCAUAUAUUUUUAUAGGGAGAAUUUGGUCUUUUCUAUGUAUGUAAAUUACCAAGAUUUAUUUAUUAUUUGUUUUGUAGUACAAGGAUCAGGGCCCUAUUGUUCGAAACCUCAUGAAAACAUGGACUUUUAGAAAUAGAAAUGUUACAUUCUAGGGAAGUGACAUCAUAUGAAGGUUGGGAUGAAGAAGACAAACAACUAUAUACAAUAUACAAGAUAUAUACAAAAAUAAUUGUUUUGCUAACUAAAUACAUGCAUAUUUAGAUUUGUAAUUAUUUAGAGAAACAAAUAUUUACUUUCUUCACUCAUCUCUCCGCGCUCUGCUGCAGUUGCUCCUCUCUCUCUUUACAUUUUGUCAGAUUUCUUGUAAGAUUUGGAAGGAGUAGACAACACUAGCUUUAUGAUAGCUUUAGGAGUGUAGUGGGGGUGGGGAGGAGGAGGUGCAGAGCAAACCAUGCAUAAGGAAGGGCAAGGCAGAAUUCUGUGGGAGAGGCUGUGAGAUUAUCUCUUCCUUUUUAUUUCUACACUUCUUGCUAUUGAAGGCAGGGCUCUAAGGUGCCAUCCUGCCAUACGCUUUGGCUGACAUGGUUAGCAUGGCUAACUGCCUCUCUUCAUUAUUGAAAGAAUCUCAGAAUCACACGGCACUUAUACAUAUACUCUGGGGGUAGGGGAGGGGGGACACUUUAUUAGAGUGGCUCCGAGAGCCACUUUCAUUAAAGUGCCCAAAGCAUCUCAUGUAUCAGCAUCCCU